AGCAGGCAAAACAUUUCAGUGAAGCUCUGCUGCUUAAAUCGAAAACCCUAACCGGAGACCAGUUUCUCCGCCGCGCCGCCAAAGCAGCUGCGACAAUGGUGAAAUACUCAAGAGAACCCGACAAUAUCACCAAAUCCUGCAAGGCUCAGGGAUCCGAUCUUAGGGUUCAUUUCAAGGUACACU